UUGGUGCUUUGCAGAGCCCGCCUAACUGUUAGCCAGGAAGAGCUUUUCCUCCUCCGAGUCUGUGUUUCUUCGGAGUUAUAAAUUCAUCUUUUUCGUAAAACGAGUGCCGCAAAAUCACCCCAGUUUCUUCGGAGAGUGAAGAGGAGACGGUGGACUUUCAGUCGGGCAAGUUUCUUCCCUUUUGGACCACAGAUGGGAGAGAAAAGCUGUUUUAAACCCCGCGUUGUGAAGUCAGAGAGACCCCGGGAACGGCAAACUUUUGUUUUUCCUUCUAAAUUAAAAUAAAACACGCAGAGGAUUAUCCCUGGCCUACUUCGGAGAAGACAAAAUGUUCCUGGUCUCACCAUCCACUUCUGGGAGAGGCGUGAACUGUUUAAACCUGCUCUGGACAGAAAACCCAGGGGAUCACUGGGGGCUGCACCUGCGGCCCACCGGGGCCUGGACCUCGGCAUUUUCCAGCAGCGCCGGAGGGACUGGGACUGAUGAGAGACUGAGAGAGAGCCGAGCUACACCCACGGCAAGGACUUUCUCAAUUUGCCAUCUCACUCCAGAAUGAGAGGUUUUAUUGUUUCAUAUUAUUCACUCUUUAUACUUGUAUGCAUUUAGUUUGUUAAGUAAAAUAGGUUUUUUCCACUGUUCUCUAAGGAAGUUCUUUCCCGGAGCGGUUGGAGGGAGGGGCCACUUGGGUUUGCUCCCUGGAGGGAUCCUAUUCAGGGGUUUUCUCCCAAAUCUGCCUUAAACCACGACAGUAACCCUACCUGUAACUUUUACAGAGGGCCUGAAAAGAACUAGAAUGUGGUAUUUGAAACAACGUCACAUGCUGUCUAUCCUCCCAGAUGCAGAACAGUCAAAUUCUUUUUUUCUUUUUGUGAUGGAGGUAGUAAAUACUGAUUCAGUCAGAAAUGCAAAUUGCAACUAUGCCGUCAAUAUAGAAAAACUCUGUCUCAUCCCUUCAGUGAGACCCUGGAUAUAUGUGUUAUUAGAUGCCAUUUCCUAAGAUAUCAAAGAUAAUUCCAGUCCUUCGUUCUCAGUGGAGGGAAAUAUUUGUGCGGACAAAGGAGGAAUGCUGUAUGUGAUAUACUUGACAUUUCAUGAUAUUUUUGGAACCAUCUCGCAGGUGUUCCUGUUUGGGAUCAGAGGGACUAGAGACAGGAUAAUCAGGCUCUUUGUUAUUUGAAAUUUUUCUGUAGCACGGGGCCAAAGGGCUACAGUUAACAACUUAGUGUCUGCAGAUAUCUGGUAAUCAAAACAAUGCUCCAGGGCUGGUAUUAUUUAGUGUUUCCUGGAACAACCUGAGUGAUGAGACAGAAUGUGCACUUAGUUCGUGGGGAUGGCACCAAGCAGAAGGCUAGGCAGGGUCAAAAGUAAUAUUUUCAGACAAAGAGGACAUUAAUAAACUUGAGGUAUGGGGCAACAGAAACCUUGUGAAGUUUCUCGAAGUGAAGUGCCAAGUUCUGCACAUGAAGACGCUUGCAUGCUAUCACCUCAGCAUAGUCUAGGUAAUGACUGGUCUGACCUGGACAGGACCUGGACAUUGUGGUAACUUUCUUAACUGCUGUAUCCUUAAAGACAAGCUGCUUUGUCCAGAGAAUGACCAUGAAUAAAUCCCUGUAAGUGGCUGGGGUUUUCAACUGGAAUUUUGCAUUUUUCCAACCAAUUAUUUCUGGAGCAGUGUCUGGAGACCCUAAUACAAGACACAUUACCAUUUUUAAGAGUUGGCUUCCUCCAGAAAUGCAUAGCCCAAGACAAUAUUCAGUAAAUUCCUACAGGGAUGUUCACAUUAGAUUUGUGCUUGGAAAUCUAUGCCCUAGAGAGAUCACUUGGACAAGGCAGUACUUCAGCUGCUUUUAAGUACUUACAGCUCUAUAAGAGUUGGUUGUGUUCAGCUGAAAAACUUACUGCCCAGACCGGCUCUGCAUGAGCCCAGGCAACGAGUAGCUGCUCAGUCUCAGCUGUGCAAAAUAUGUGGUGUUUACAAUUCUUUCUGGAUUCAUCUUUCUAACUUAAUCAAGGGACAGUGCAUCCUGAGACCUGUGUUGCUUCAAAUGCCACUUUAGAAAGAAGAGAAAGGAUUUGACAGAAGCAAAGCUCCUGAGCUUCUGUGUCAGCUGGGAUUGCUGAGUAGCAGGCUUGCUGAUUGCUGUGUCUACCAGAAUGCAGGAGCAGAUUUGCACGGUAUGCUACUGAGCUCGGAGCUCCACAGGCCACAGGCACUUGUUAGUGGGCUCUUUGGUGUCUUCCUCAGAGAAGUCCAGGAAUGCUAUGGCCAUGGCCAGAAUUUGCUUAAUUUUUUUUGCCCUUGCUCCCCUUUACAGGUUAUUUACCCUGUCCCUUCUCUCCCAUAUCCUAUAAAAUCUUCAUGUGAAGAACUGGCUAUUCCAAUAACUUCCCAACACCCAAACCUCAUCUAAUGGUUCCUCCAGCAGUUUUUCCUGGACCUAUUCAUCUAUACCAGGUCUUCCAGCUUUGCAGUGAGCCUGCAAGAUUUUUGCUUGUGCAUGGAGUGAUGAGGGUGAGGCCCAUGCAAGCUUUCUUCACAGCAGUGACUCAGACAACAUGCCCACAAGACAAUUUUUUGGAAGAUUUUGUUUCUCUGUGGAUCAUCUGACCUGUAAGCCACUCUGUGUGAAUGGCAAACUGCAUCCUCAAAGGUCAGCCUAAGAUGCUGGACCAUGACAGAGGUCUUUUCUUGUCAGUUCCUGCAUAGUCUCUGAAUUUGGCAGCAAGAAGGAAGUUGGACACAGCCCAAACCAGGCUACAGCCCCAACUUUUAUCUCUGAUCAGCUGGAGUGGGUAAAUAAAAAGAUGAGAAUGGGUAUCUUCGCCUCUGACUGUCUGAAUUAGCAGGGGAAGGUGGGGAAAAUACUAAAUUAGCUAUCAGUGUACCAAUCAUUAAAUGAAAUUUGUGGUAUUUGAUAGUUUUGCUUGGACAGCAUAAAGCAUUUCUCCGCCUAUGCUACUGCCAGAAGAUUCCUUCCAAAUGGUAAAUCCACACAUGCAAAUAUUGACUUUUGUGCCUCAGUCUCAAAAUCAGAGCUUUAUAUGCUUAAAAAUUUCUUACCAAAAUGAUGCAGGCUGCUCUAUUUUAAUAAGCAUAUUUUUCUAGCAUAGCUUACGUGCUGAACUGAAGGUGGGGUAUGAAAGCAGGGGGAUACAGAGAACAAAGACCACUGGGGUAGAUUUAGUAGCUUAAGGACUGCCAAAGAAGUCAGGUCUUGUGCAGUUUACAGUCCUGUAGAGGCAGGUCCCAGCUGAUCCCAUCUCCGCACAGUACGAGUUGAAUAUUUUCCAUCCAGGUACUUUCAGACAUUACAUGAGGAGAGUUUAAUGUUUAAUUUCAAAUUUUCCUAAUGAGCAUAUUUGAUGUUGCAUAAUUUUUUUUUUUAA